rnacentral:misc_RNA from 1 species
GAUGAAGAACGUAGUGAAAUGCGAUAAGUAAUGUGAAUUGCAGAAUUCAGUGAAUCAUCGAGUCUUUGAACGCACAUUGCGCCCCCUGGUAUUCCGGGGGGCAUGCCUGUCCGAGCGUCAUUAUCAACCCUCAAGCCCGGCUUGCCGUUGGGUCCCGUAGGGGUGCGAAUCUCAACGGACCUCAAAGAUAGUGGCAGAGCCCGUACGGACCCUGGAUGCAGCGAGCUUUCUGGCACGCAUCACAGCAAUCCGCCGGCUCGGUCUUAACCGUCAAUUUUUUUUCACUGGUUGACCUCGGAUCAGGUAGGGAUACCCGCUGAACUUAAGCAUGUCAAUAAGCGGAGGA